rnacentral:misc_RNA from 1 species
GUGAAAAUUACAGUUUGCCUUCUCCAAACAUGCUGCCACAGGUUCCUCAGCUCAUUUUUCCUAACAGGCUUAAUGAGAAAGUCAGCCGCACCUUUUAACAUGCACUNNNNCCAUGCUAAUUGAAUCAUGUGACGACAUCAUUAUGACAGGAAUGUUUUUGCAAAUGUCAUGCUCCAUGACCAAUGUAAGCAGUGCAUAUCCUGAUAUUGAUGGCAACUCUACUUCUGUUAAUAUGAGAUCAAUGUUAUGGGGUCCACCCUUUAAGGUCU